rnacentral:rRNA from 1 species
GAUGAACGCUGGCGGCGUGCCUAAUACAUGCAAGUCGAGCGAACGGACGAGAAGCUUGCUUUUCUGAUGUUAGCGGCGGACGGGUGAGUAACACGUGGAUAACCUACCUAUAAGACUGGGAUAACUUCGGGAAACCGGAGCUAAUACCGGAUAAUAUUUUGAACCGCAUGGUUCAAAAGUGAAAGACGGUCUUUCUGUCACUCAUAGAUGGAUCCGCGCUGCAUUAGCUAGUUGGUAAGGUAACGGCUUACCAAGGCAACGAUGCAUAGCCGACCUGAGAGGGGGAUCGGCCACACUGGAACUGAGACACGGUCCAGACUCCUACGGGAGGCAGCAGUAGGGAAUCUUCCGCAAUGGGCGAAAGCCUGACGGAGCAACGCCGCGUGAGUGAUGAAGGUCUUCGGAUCGUAAAACUCUGUUAUUAGGGAAGAACAUAUGUGUAAGUAACUGUGCACAUCUUGACGGUACCUAAUCAGAAAGCCACGGCUAACUACGUG